GACAGAGGGUGCAAACGUUGCUCGGAAUUACUGGGCGUAAAGGGCGUGUAGGCGGGCAGGUAAGUCGGGGCGUGAAAUCCCUGGGCUCAACCCAGGAACUGCACUCGAAACUACUUGCCUUGAGUGCCGGAGAGGAAAGCGGAAUUCCUGGUGUAGAGGUGAAAUUCGUAGAUAUCAGGAGGAACACCAGUGGGCGAAGGCGGCUU
rnacentral:rRNA from 1 species